rnacentral:rRNA from 1 species
GACGUAGGGGGCCAGCGUUGCUCGGAAUUACUGGGUGUAAAGGGUUCGUAGGCGGUGUGGCAAGUCGGGAGUGAAAUCUCUGGGCUCAACCCAGAGUCUGCUUCCGAAACUGCUGUGCUUGAGUGUGGGAGAGGCGCGUGGAACUGCGAGUGUAGAGGUGAAAUUCGUAGAUAUUCGCAAGAACACCAGUGGCGAAGGCGGCUCACUGGCCCGGUACUGACGCUGAGGUGCGAAAGCGUGGGGAGCAAACAGG